ensembl:snRNA U1 U1 spliceosomal RNA
AUACUUACUUGGCAGGGGAGAUACCAUGAUCACAAAGGCCAUUUUCCCAGGACAAGGCUUAUGCAUUGCACUCUGGAUGUGCUGACCCCUGCGAUUUCCCCAAAUGCGGGGAACUCAGCUGCAUGAUUUGUGGUCGUGGGAGACCACGUUCGUUCUCUCCUC